AUUAACCAGCAAUAGGAGGCUUGAAAGAAGCAAACCUCUGGGGACUUUUGCUCUUCUUUGGUUGGCUGUGAGCAGAGGGAGAAUGGAACAAAAAGGAACCUUCCAGAACUUCACUGUCCAAUAUGGUAGCCACAGUAGCUAUUGGGCACUUAAAAUGUGAUUGUCCAAAUCAAGAUGUGCUGUAAGCAUAAAAUACGUACCAGAUUUUGAAGAUUUGUAUGAAACAAGAAGGGAAGAGGUCAUGUAAGCACACACUAAGACGGAGGUAAACUACAAACCAAGAAAAGAGGCCUCAGAUCGAAACCUACCCUGUCAGCACCUUGAUCUUGGACUUCAGCCUCUGGAACCACGAGAAAUGAAUUUCUGAUGUUUAAGGCACUGGUUUAUCGUGUUUGUUAUGGUGGCUCAAACAGACUAAGGUAAACACUAUACUACAUCCUCCUGCUCAGCACAGAAUUGUAGGGAAUCAGUGUGUAAAUGUUUAGGCCACGAUAAACACUAAACACUACAAUGAAUGCUGGAAUAAUACACAA